ACAUUGAUGAAAUUAAUUGGUCCGUGUUUAUGAAUUUAUUUUGAUUUAAAAACUUCCAAUUACUGAGUUAA